GUGCAGACAAGGCACCAGGAGUUACAGGUGAUCUAACCAUCUUGUGUAGACAAGAUAAGAAGACAGAGGCUAGAAUUCCAGUCACCACCUGAGAGCUCUUGCUACAGUAGCUUCAUCACUGUUUUCAUAGUGACCAGUGAUUGCUUUGAAGUUGCACAGACAGAACUGGAACUUGGAAGGAAAAAAGACUGGAAGGAAUCAGAGCUGAGAAUUACUGACACAGUGAAAAAGAAAGUAAGCAGUAGGAAGAAAGCAGCCGCUUCUGCCUGUCUUCACCAAGCAGCCUCACUGAAAACUUGAACCUUCUGCGGGCAGAAACCAGGUCAACCUGCAUGUGAACCAAACCAGUGAAACCUUUGCCUGAGCUGACAACCUGGCACUGGCUCUCAGCUCCUUGGCUAACUGACAUCCUUGGAUAUGGAGGACUCAAGGCAUGUGCCAAUUCUUUUAUUUUU